AUCUGCAGAAAACAAAGAACAACUUGCUUCUGACUGGGAUUCAGCAAUGACUCCCAACAAUGUCCACACUUUAAAUAAACAACAACAAAGCAGCAACUAGAUGCAAAGCUGGAUGGAGCGAAGAAAGCUGGACUGACUUCAUGAGACUGUGAACAGACAGGGAUGUGCAGAUGGAAACUUUGGGCAACGUUAUCAAACCCUCCGAACCCAAAUCCCCCAUACAGCUCUUCCUUCUACCACUCUGACAGCUUAAGUCCUGUAACAAAGACGAUAGUCCAGGUGAACGACAGGCGGCCAGACA